AGAGAGAGAGAGAGAAUACAGGAAAGGAGCCAAGGAGGGGGAGAGUGAAGGAAUAAAUAUAAUUAUAAGGAUAUUGAUGUCUUUUUAAUGGUUAAUUUAAGAUAUAAUAAAUUAUUAAUGGUUUUAAAAUAUUAGAAUAUGAUAAAUAAUCUUUUAAAAGUUUAUUGAAGCUAACUCAUUAUUUAUGCCAAAUUUUUAAAGUUAUUUACUAAUUUACUUUAAUUAAUGUUAAAAAUUGUGCAGGUGGAAGGUUUGGCGGGCAGAUUGUGCAAUACAACAGUCGGAUUCAUGACGCUCAGCAAGUGUUUGAUGAAAUUUCUCAACCAAUACAGAUAAGAGAAUUGCAAUGAGUUUUAUGGAAAUAUCCUUCUCCUGGUAAACUAAAUUAAAUUAUAAAUGGUUCUCUUCCAUUUGGUGCAAAUAGUAUUGCAUUUCGUGAUGGUUUAAUUUCGGAUAGUUUGGAUUUGUGACUAAUUUUGUUAGGUCAUCAGUUUUAGGAGCUGAGUUAUGGGCUAUUUAAAAAUAACAUCAAUUUAUUAAAAAAAUAAAAUUGUAAAAUAAGAAUAAAAGAUUUUGUAAACCUUUAUUAUUCAAUUUUAUUCUUUCUAAAUAUGCUGCAUCACAAUUGGAAAAAUAUUAAAUUCACAAAAAAUAAAUAAAUACAAAUUAAGUAAGUCAUUUAUCAUCAUUAUCAAAAUUCUACAAAUAUAUCAAUAAUUUCAAGGAUACUUUUCAAACUUAUUAACUCAAUUAGGCGCAACUCGUGUAAUACUACUUGAAGAAAUAAACCCAUCAAGUCAAUCUCUACAGUUUUUUCCAAUUUUUCUCUAAAAACACAGCUCCUUUUGUUUAUGGUUCAGUACUAAAGAAAGGGGUUCUGGUGGGCGUUUUGCCCACCCUUUUCCCCUGUUUUCUUUUCUUUUCUUUUUUUUUUUUACUGUUAUUUGUUGUUUUGUAGUUUCUCAGUGGUUAGUCUUCACUUUUUGAGAGUUUGGAAUCCCCUGCCUAGUCAGUCGGUGUAUGGAAGCGGUUACAGCGGUGUAUGUCGUGCUUUUCCCGAUUUGUUGUGUCGCGGAUAGCGAUCUUCUGGGUUGAUGAUAGGAAGGCAAGUCUCUGCGACAGAUGCCUCCACACUUUGGAAUUAUUUACGGAAAAUUUAAUUUUUUAUAUAUAAUGAUUUUAAUGAUAUUAUAAAUUUAUUUUAUAGUUUCAAUAAUAUAUUUUAUAUUUCAUAUAAUUUAAUAUAAUUUGAUAAAUUUAUAUUAUAAAAAUUAUAUAAUUAUAUUUAAAGAAUAUAAGUCCUAAUUUAAUAAAUUUUUUAAAUAAUAUAUAAUGAAAAUCAUAAAUAAAUAUAGAUAUAAUUAAAAUAAUUAUUUGUGAGUUAUUGAUUAAAUAAAAAUUUAGUUUAUUGUGUAUCCAUGCACUUUUUAUUUUAUUAUUUUUAUAUUUAAUAUUAUCUAAUCAUUUUUUUAAAAUAAAUUAUUUAUAUAAUUUAAAUAUAAUUAUCCUUUCGAUUAUUAAAUCGUUAUUAAUAAUAUUAUAAAAUAAUUAUAUAUUCUAAUAGUUAUUAAAAAUAUCUAACAAUAUAAUUUAAAUAAUUAAUUAUAGUUUAUAUUAUUUAAAUUAAUUUUAUAUAUGUGUUUAUGUUUGUAUAUAUUUAUUAUUUUAUUCCUAAAUAUAUUAAUUAUUUAUUGUUGUUAAUUAUAUCAGUGAAUUUAAAUUUGCUAAUAUAAUUUUAUAUAUUAAUUACAUAUAUAGCUUAUAAUCAAUAAUUAUUUGGGCAUACAUGUUGUGUUCUUUGCUCUGAGCUGAUUGUUCUCUUCUUCUCUGGCCAUGGCUGAGAUAGAAGCGGUGACGCUGGAUCAAUGGCGUCGAGUUUCAAAUUGCUUGGGGCUUUGGAUUAUAUGGCACGUGGGCUUUGCUUGUUUCUUCCCUUGUUUUAAUUUCUCUCCAUUCCCUUGUUUCUUUCCUAUUUGAUGGGAUGCAGCGGUAUUCAAUUCAAAUUAAACUAAAUUAAUCGAAUCGAAUUAAAAUUAAAAUUAAAAUUAAAAUUAAAAUUAAAAUUUUAUUUUAUUUUAUUUUAUUUUAUUUUAUUUUAUGUUGAGUUUAAUUUAAUAUUAAUUUUUAAAAUUUUCAAAUUUUAUGAAUUCAAUUUGAUUUUAACAAAAAAAAAUUUAAAUAAAUAAAAUCAAAAGCAUCAAAUACCACUACCAUCAUCCUUCCCACGAGCUCAAUCCCAGAUAGAUCUUUCUCAACAUCAUACUGAUUAAAGGUUUAUUUAAUUUAUGUGCAUUGAUUUCCUUGUGGAGUUUGAAGGAUUCCUUUAACUGUGUAGUGGUGAUGGGUGAUUUAUUAGCGGGCUCAUAAUUGUUUCUAUUAUUGUUUAAGGUAACUGUGAUUAUUUUUAUUUAUAUUUAUCUGUAAAUUACACUUUAAUAUUUGAGUAUUAGUAUAAUUAAUGAAUCAUUCUAUAUAUUUUAAAAAUCAAAUAUUUAAAUUUAUUUAUAAUUAUUUUUUCAAAUUAAAAAUAUCUCUCUUUACUUUUAUUAUUAAAAAUAUAAAAAUAUUUUUAUUAUUUUUUAAAUAAAUAAAUCACAAUAUUGAGUUUACAUCUGUUUUUAUAUUUUUUAAAUUAUAUACUUAAAUCUCUCUAUAAUCGAUAUAUUCUUAUCUAUUAUAAUUUAAAUAUUUUAAUUAUUCAUUUUGUAUUUAAAAUAAUACUUAAGUUUUUUCAUUAAUUAUAAUAUCUCAUUUAACUAAUUUUUAACACUUUUUAUUUUUUAAUUUUUAAUUAUUAAAAUAUUUCAACGCUUAUAACAUCAAAUAUUUUUAAAAUUAUUUAUAAUUUUAGUUAUUUUUAAGUAAUACUAAAUAACUUUUAAAUAAGUCAUAAAUUUUUAUAAAAAAUAUUUUAAAAAAUUAUAUUUUGAAAAAAAAUGUAACUAUCUACUAAAUUUAAAUUAAUACUUAUAAUAGAUAAAAUAAUUUUAAUUUUAAAUAAAUUAAAUAUAAAAAUAUUUAAAAUUUUAAUUUUAAAAAUAUAAUUUACACAAUACCAAAUUUUUUUACACAUAAAAAAUAAUUUGACUAUACACGAAAAUAUUUUAAAUGUUUAAAAUAUUUAUUGUACUUUCGAUCAAUUGAUUAAAUUUUCUGAAAUUGGACUUUUUUGUGCGUAAUCAUUAGCUAUGGAGAAAGGUGCUUGAAUUUACUUCAAAUUGCUGGAAAUAGAAAGGCGGGUAUUAUUAGGAAAAAUAAUAGUAAUAAUAAAAACUAUUCAUUUUAAGUUACAAAAUAAGUUGAAAUAGAUUAUAUGAAAUGAAUAGAUGGACUAAAAAUAAUAUAUAAAAAUUUUGCAAAGUAUUUGAAAAUAAAAUUUAAUUUAGAGAUUAAAAAUUUUGAUUGAGAAAAAAGAAAAAGUUAUAUGGACAUGAUCAAUGUGUGCAUUCCACAAAUUUUUUUUUAAAUAAAAAAGGCAUUAAUUGAGCAAAAUAAGUUAAAAUAAUACUUAAAAUAAAAAUAUAGAUAUUAUAAAUUAAAAUUCAAUAAUUUAAUGGCAAAAAGGACGAUGAUAAAUUUGACAGGAAGGACGCAAACUACGGAAGGGACAGCACGAGAUGAUUGGACAAGGAUAAGACCUAUCAUGGUGGGGUCCAAUCAGAACGUGGCAUAUCCCAAUUUCGUCUUAUAACUUCUAAAGCGGGCAGCAGUUAUAUGUAACCGGCUUUUUAAUUGGAUACUAUUUUUGGUGCAUUUGUAGAAUUGCCGCAGAUAAUCCAUGCUCUCCAAGUACAUCGUCACCGUUAGAUAUUGACAAACGCCUCGUGAUGCGGCCCCUUAACUAUAAUUAAUUUUCCUUUAUUUAAGAUAGGGAAUAAAGAAUUUUAUAUUUUAUUUUUGUUUUAUGCCAUUCCAUUCUUAAAUUGAAUUGUGAAAAAUCAUGAAGUAGGAAUGUAAAUGUAUUUGGAUUGCCGUCGGCGAGAGAGAGAGAAACGAGAAAGAGAAAUAGCCAGAGAGUUUUUUAGUCGCCAAUGGAGGAAUGGAGGAUUUGGUUGUAUAUCGGCAACUCCUCCAAUUGUGAUUGUUUUAAUUUAUAAAGUUGUAUUUUAAAUUUGCUAUGAUUUUGAGAGUUUGUGAGUAAGUAGAUAUGUAUAAUGGUUUAUUUAUGGUUUGUCUGGGUGAGCCAAUGGUGAGGUUUGAUGUGGCUUUUCUUUCAAUGCAUAGCUCUAUCGCAUGUAUAAUGGAUUCAGAGCUCUAUCGCAUCCUCUCGUAUAGCUCAGCUUUCUUUCGAUGAAUAGCUUGGAAUCUCCGCUGUUAUAGAGUUUUUGUUCUCCUUUACUUGCUUUGUAUUGCUGUCUUUUUUGAAAGUUGUAACUCUGCAAUUUUGGCCUUCUCUCACAGCUCUGGUAGGCUUGAUGGUUUUGAAGUGUAUGGUAGUUUUGUUUAAGCUGUCGAGGACAUUGGUUUUCCUGUUGCUAGUUUUCUAGGAUCGGGAAAGAUGAUGUUUGAUAAUUGUUUUUGUUUGGAUGGACCAUUUGUUUUGUUUGGAUCAAUUCGAUGGAUUGUUUUUGGACUUUUAUGAUCUAUUGAUUAUAUGCUUCUAGCUUUUGGGUCUUAAAAUGUAAUUUACA
rnacentral:lncRNA from 1 species